AUUGAACGCUGGCGGAAUGCUUUACACAUGCAAGUCGAGCGGCAGCGCGGGGGCAACCCUGGCGGCGAGCGGCGAACGGGUGAGUAAUACAUCGGAACGUACCCUGACGUGGAGGAUAACUAACCGAAAGGUUAGCUAAUACCGCAUACGUCGUGAGGGAGAAAGCGGGGGAUCGCAAGACCUCGCGCGUUAGGAGCGGCGGAUGGCGGAUUAGAUUGUCGGUGAGGUAAAGGCUCACCAAGGCGACGAUCCGUAGCGGGUCUGAGAGGACGACCCGCCACACUGGAACUGAGACACGGUCCAGACUCCUACGGGAGGCAGCAGUGGGGAAUUUUGGACAAUGGGGGAAACCCUGAUCCAGCCAUUCCGCGUGAGUGAAGAAGGCCUUCGGGUUGUAAAGCUCUUUCGGCAGGGAAGAAACGGCCCCGGAUAAUACCUGGGGUUAAUGACGGUACCUGAAGAAGAAGCACCGGCUAACUACGUGCCAGCAGCCGCCGUAA
rnacentral:rRNA from 1 species